UCUAAAUUAGCGAAGCUUAGUUGGUAGAAUAUAAGACUCUUAAUCUCAGGGUUGUGGGUUUGAGCCCCACAUUUGGCGAGAG